CAAAAUUUUAGACGACACUUUUAUGGGAAAAAUUUUGGCUAUGAAUAUAGUUCAUAGCCGCUUUAUUGAAAAUAUUUAAUGAAAUAACAUAAUCUCUGACAUCAAAAUAAUACUGAAGUCUAGAUUGAUUAUAUAAGUGUUCUAUAGCCAGUAAAGGUGGCAGGAAUAUACGCGUUAAAAAGUUCAUAUAUAUAUAAUUAUAUACAAUCAGAUACAAAAUAAAUGCUUAUGAUAUUGCUGGCAGGCCUGCGGGAGGAGGUGGGUAAAUUCUGAGUUCUUCACUUGACCACUGAUAUUGGAGACUUGCAAAAUAUCUAAGUUAUCUUGGUUUAAUACCAAGAGAUCGACCUUGAUCUUGGCCCAGCUGUUACGUAGUUCAAGUGCUCUAAAUUUCCUCCCUCUUCAACAGGCGCGCCAGGGAUUAACAUUAAAUAUAAUUAAAUUGUUACUCACUUAUCUAAUUAGUUCAGGUGUGACAUAAAAACCCAUAUUUCGUGGGAAAUAUUUCUAUUUAUGUCUCCACCUUCCCUUUCGAGUUUAUGAGGAUCAAACAGCGUUGCAUUAACCGAACUUGGUUUACUGGCAUGCAGGCACAAAAUUUUAGACGACACUUUUAUGGGAAAAAUUUUGGCUAUGAAUAUAGUUCAUAGCCGCUUUAUUGAAAAUAUUUAAUGAAAUAACAUAUUCUCUGACAUCAAAAUAAUACUGAAGUCUAGAUUGAUUAUAUAAGUGUUCUAUAGCCAGUAAAGGUGGCAGGAAUAUACGCCAAAGGCUUUGCAAUUCGCCCUAACCAUCUAGGGACGAAUCAAAAGUCUCCCCACCCGAGAGAAUGCAACGCUACAUGGCCUCAACCAUACACGUAUGACUUUACAUAUUAGAAAAUUCUGAAAGAACGUCACGAGAUAUAACCUCAAAAAUUAUGAAAGUUGAAGGCAGUCGCCCUUGCAGACUGCUCCAAAACUAGCAUACUCGAUAUAUGGAAACUGGUAUAAAUGUAUACCUAGCGAAGUCGUUGAUCAGCCGCCCUUGCAAGCUGUCUGAAACAUGUUUUACAACGUGAUAGCAGUAGCCCCUGCCAACUGUCUUGUCAUUAUUAAACUGAGUAUUACGAAAAAAUGGCAGCUGCCCUUGCUAACUGCUGAAACAAGCCUUAAGUAUAUAGCACAAAGCGAGUUGCACAAACAGACAAUAAUUUGGCAAACCUAAGAAAAACGUGGCAGAAAGGUAUUGUCAGCCCCUGUAUGACAACAUCGCCCUGCCACCCUUAAAGCCUCCACCGGACAACACCCCGCAUUGUUGUCCAGGGGAGGGUUAAAUAUCUAUAAUUUAUGACGCUGUAAGGGUUGAAACUCGAAUGUAUUUGUGAAAUGCAUUGGACUUCCAACGACCCAAGACGCGAAUCUGCGCAUCAGACAAGCCCUGCUCAGCUGCGAAUGAUGCUGCGCCAAUUCGGAAACUGUGAGAUUUAUAAACCGUAGGAUUGAGGUUGCAAAAUUUUAAGCAUUGAUUGAGAUAGGAAAUAAACAUGUUUCUCGGCACCGUCGCCCCCACAGGAGUCAUGAAAAUUGGCCUAGGAGAAUUGCCACGGCGGGUCAAAUAAUUGCACAAAAGUUGUACAGGGCAAGGCUUGGGGGUUGGCUGACGAUAAAUGGCCAUGGAAAACGGGCGUUGGUUGUAAUUGUGUUUAUAGUCGGUGAAGGUUAUUUUAAAACCAAUUACUUCACCGUCUCUUAAGAGUUUGGUGAGUUGGUUUAAAUGUAGUGGAAUAGGAGACUGCUUUGAUGUUGAAGUUAGUUCGCCAAUACGUAGAAAGGCGAAGAAUGCCAGAGCACACAUGGCUUUAAAUUGGCAUUGAUCAUAUGUAGUGGUAAUACACUGUGAAGCAGCCAUAAGUAAUCGGGUAAGGAUUGGAAGGGUUAUUGGUAACCGACUAUCCAAGCGAAAGCCCAGUUUUCCAUGGCCCUUUAGCAUUUGCAUAAUGAAAAAGGCUUUUGUUGGGUCAGUCAAAUUGAAAAGUUUAUGUGAAUACCCGAUAGCGGAGACAUAUGUGUUGACAGUUGCGGGGGCGUACCGCCGAUCAAACAUGUAUGCAAUGAAAAGUGCCAAAGUAUGAGGUGAAAUAGGCAAUGUGUAUGAAAUAGUAUCGGAUAUAUGUAAAUAGAACUGGUCAAAAAGUUUCCAAGCGCGUUGAUAAGUAAGAAUCGAAGAGCGCUGCAGACUGGAUCGUGUCAAGAGGGAAACUAUAUUUCCCAAUUUCGUGGCAGCAGAGCUUGAGGGAUGUCUGUUGCGCAAGAAUUCAUCGAGGCUGAUGUUUCGCGUUGAAAGGUUUGAACCUGAAAGCGAGACAACAGGUCAGCCAAACGAUUAUACGUCCCAGGGAUAUGCUUUGCUUUGAAUAGAAUAUUAUGUUGCAGGCAUACAAGAACAAGUUUCCGAACAAACUGCAUCAGAAUCUUGUCCUUGCAUGACUGUUUAUUGAUGACAUAAACCAAAGCUUCGUUAUCGGUGAAAAAUAAAACACUGUGGUUCGCCAUCUUAUGACCCCAUAAGCAGAGACUAAGUACAAUCGGAUAAAACUCUAAGAUCGCGAUGUUACGAUAACGCCACUCGUCAGGCCAGAGGCCAUGGCAAUAUUCUGUGCCAAAAAUUGCGCCGAAACCAAUUCCACCCGCAGCAUCCGUG